AAAGAAGAGGAAUUAACGAACUUUCAACGCUGUAAGAUGGAUGAGGACGCUACGCUCUCUCCACAUCAGACACGAGGCAGCAAAUCAAUGAUUUGACCCACUCCCUCUCUCUUUCUCCCUAUUUUAUGAUUCACCCACUUCCCAUAUUACACAAUAUAUAGACGCUCAACGCAGGUUUAGAACCACUGCCCCUUCCUUCUUCUUCUUUUUUUCUCCUCCUCAGUUGCCUCCAUACGAUACUUAUUUUCUUUUGUGUUUGCCUUUUCAAUCGAGAUGGCCAAUGAAGGUGAAGGGAAUCGUAGUGUACCCCGUUUGAAUGAGAGGAUCCUGUCAUCUUUAUCCAAAAGAACUGUUGCUGCACAUCCUUGGCAUGAUCUUGAAAUUGGACCUGGAGCUCCCAACAUCUUCAAUGUUGUGGUUGAGAUCACCAAGGGAAGUAAGGUUAAAUAUGAACUAGACAAGAAGACAGGACUCAUCAAGGUGGAUCGGAUUUUAUACUCAUCUGUGGUCUAUCCUCAUAACUAUGGUUUCAUCCCUCGCACACUGUGUGAAGACAAUGAUCCCUUGGAUGUUUUGGUUCUCAUGCAGGAGCCUGUCCUCCCUGGUUGUUUUCUGCGAGCCAGGGCCAUUGGACUUAUGCCCAUGAUUGAUCAGGGAGAAAAAGAUGAUAAAAUUAUUGCAGUUUGUGCUGAUGAUCCAGAGUACAAGCAUUAUACUGACAUCAAGGAGUUGGCUCCGCAUCGCCUUAUGGAGAUCCGUCGUUUCUUUGAAGAUUACAAGAAAAAUGAGAACAAGGAGGUCGCAGUUAAUGAGUUCUUACCUUCAAACCAUGCUGUCGAUGCCAUCCAGUAUUCGAUGGACCUGUAUGCUGAGUACAUUCUGCACACCCUGAGGCGAUAGAUGAACUAAGGCAAUAACAGAUACAGGCCAUAUUCACAAUUUUUGCCAUUGGUUUUGAACCAUGCUGUGAAGAAAACAGCAUUGAUAUCUCAAUAUGAAAUGAUUAGCUGACAGCUCUUGAACUUGGAAAGUGAAAACCACUGCGUACGUUAAAAGACAGAUCUUUAUGGCAUCAGAUGUCUUAAAAACUUUAUUGUAAUUAUCCCUGUAAGGUUUCGGGCUCUUAUACCAAAUAUAUUUUUUAUUUUCUGACA